rnacentral:tRNA from 1 species
AUAUUGCUCAGUGGUAGAGCUCUUGCCUAGCAUGCAUGAGGCCCUGAGUUUGAUCCCCAGUAU